rnacentral:rRNA from 1 species
UACGUAGGGUGCGAGCGUUGUCCGGAAUCAUUGGGCGUAAAGAGCGUGUAGGCGGUCCGGUAAGUCCGUUGUGAAAGUCAAGGGCUCAACCCUUGAAUGCCGGCGGAUACUGUCGGGCUAGAGUCCGGAAGAGGCAAGUGGAAUUCCCGGUGUAGCGGUGAAAUGCGUAGAUAUCGCUUGGAACGCCGAAGGUGAAAACAGGCUGCUGGGGUUGCGCCGACGCUGAGACACGAAAGCCAGGGGAGCAAACGGG